rnacentral:rRNA from 1 species
GAUGAACGCUGGCGGCGUGCCUAAUACAUGCAAGUCGAGCGAACAGACAAGGAGCUUGCUCCUCUGACGUUAGCGGCGGACGGGUGAGUAACACGUGGAUAACCUACCUAUAAGACUGGGAUAACUUCGGGAAACCGGAGCUAAUACCGGAUAACAUGUUGAACCGCAUGGUUCAACAGUGAAAGACGGUUUUGCUGUCACUUAUAGAUGGAUCCGCGUCGCAUUAGCUAGUUGGUAAGGUAACGGCUUACCAAGGCAACGAUGCGUAGCCGACCUGAGAGGGUGAUCGGCCACACUGGAACUGAGACACGGUCCAGACUCCUACGGGAGGCAGCAGUAGGGAAUCUUCCGCAAUGGGCGAAAGCCUGACGGAGCAACGCCGCGUGAGUGAAGAAGGUCUUCGGAUCGUAAAACUCUGUUAUUAGGGAAGAACAAAUGUGUAAGUAACUAUGCACGUCUUGACGGUACCUAAUCAGAAAGCCACGGCUAACUACGUG